UACGUAGGUGGCAAGCGUUGUCCGGAAUUAUUGGGCGUAAAGCGCGCGCAGGUGGUUCCUUAAGUCUGAUGUGAAAGCCCACGGCUCAACCGUGGAGGGUCAUUGGAAACUGGAGAACUUGAGUGCAGAAGAGGAAAGUGGAAUUCCAAGUGUAGCGGUGAAAUGCGCAGAUAUCAGGAAGAACACCCGUGGCGAAGGCGGCUUUCUGGGACGGUACUGACGCUGAGACGCGAAAGCGUGGGGAGCGAACAGG
rnacentral:rRNA from 1 species